ACAUAACUAUUUCUACAUUCGUAUUUCAUGUAAGCAUGUUCUCAAAAUAUCUGCCUAGAUGCUAGGCCGCUAGUCAUAGUCCGAAUUAAAUUCCUAUGCAUUUGAAAAUUUAGAAAUGACGUUAAGACCUACUUAGGCACCUCCUAGUCUCACAUAAGUCGCAACUCUCACAUAUACAGAAAAGUUAUACUUUCAUUUUUCAUUUUAUUUUUUUAAUAAAAUAUAAGAGGUUUGUUAAUGCUCGAAUAAACUGCUCAUUAUAUUUAUAGUUCAUUUUAUUUUGUAACUUAUAUCUUUCAAUACAAUUAUGUAUAUUUUUUUCUUUUGAGUACAUGUAUAUUUUUUUAACUAUAAAUAAAAACUAAUUUGUACUGUGUAUAAUAAAUUUACUUAAAUUCUCCUAAACUCUGUCUAACUGCCUAAGUAUUAAAUUUCAGUCAACCGCCCAACUAAUGGCUAUUGUGCAAUCAGUCUAAUCUAAAAUUCUACAGUGGAGCUGGUUAAGCUUUCUUGGAAGUUAAAUUUGUCAUUUUGUGAUGCUUUUUCAUUCUUAUCCUGUCUAGACAAAUCGGUGACGGCGGUCAGCGAUAGGGUGGGUGUUUGUAGAUUUAAUAACAGUUGGUGGCGUCAUGUGCAUUGUUGCUGCCGUUUUUUAUUUUCUGCACACCUCGUGGAGAAAUUUUUUGUUGUUUUCGUAUCACAAAGGUAUACAACGUAUUAUUAUAUAAAUGGUAAAAACUUUUAUUUUUUAUGUUAUUAAUUUUUAACAUAAAAAUCUAAUCACUUAUGUAAUAAUAAAUGAUAUAUCACCCCAUAUAUUGGACCCAUAAAAUAAUAUUUUGACAUCGUGGUCAGGUUAGCCACUCACUCAAAGAAUCAGGUUUUUUCGGUUCACUAUUUCAACUUCAUUUUCAGACUCAAGGAAUCAGCGAAUUGGGUCACACAUUCUUGUGGUGGGCCUAUCUUGGGCUUCAAAACAUGGGCCUCUUAUUGAGUGAGCUAAGUUGGGCUAAAAGGAAUGAGUUGUGUCCGGUCGGGAUGUGAGGUGACAAGUUAGAAUUGGGCUAUCUGGCAACGAAGAGUUCAAAUAUGAGUUUUAUUGGACGGGGGUGAGGUAAAGGGUCAGGAUUGGUUAUUUGGUGGCAAAGAGUUUAAAGAUGAAGAUAAAUUUUUUUAAUACAUACGACAUUGUUUACACGAAAGAGUGGAGGCUAGACUAAGUCUCACAAUGGAUAGCCAAAUAAUUUAGUUCAAAUUCGUAUUUGGUGAGAAUCGAACUUAAGACCUUUUAUAUGUGAAAAGAAAUAUCACUAAACAGUAGCACUAAGUGACAAAGAUAAAGACAAACUUAUGUGCAAGCGGAUGUAUGAUAUUUCGUGCUUAAUUAUCUUAUUACAUGACACAUCAUAUGAAGAAAGAGAGAUAGAUAUAAACUAAUAUACACCUGUUUACACCUAAGAUUUUGCCUAGCUCUAUUGGAUAAAAGCAGUUGGUUAUUGGUGACACAAGAAAAUUGUGGGUUCUAUUGGUUUAUAUUGGGUGUUUAAGGAAUGUUCUAUUGGCUCUCUUAUUCAGGAGAGGAUUUGCGGUAAACCUCAAAAUAAGCCAACAAUAAUUAGUCCCCAAACUUAACACAAAUAUUAAACCGUUAUUGCAUACAUGUGACUCAAAUACGAGAUUUUUCUAUAUCAAUAGACUUGAAGUGCUAAUUGGAAAGAUGAACAUUUGAUGUCAAUAGAAAUCCUCAUAUUUCUAGUCAAUUUAUUUGCUUAGCUUCCAAACCACAAUUUGUUGUGAGCUCCAGCUGUUUAAGCACACACCACUAGUGAGCAUAGCACCACGUGUGGUAUGAAUUCAUUUGCUAAGUCAAUCCAAAUGAAACAUUUUGUAGACUAUGGUGCCACCUAAGUAUCUCAAAUCAAUGAUAUAAUAUCACGUAGAAAGUUAAAACACAUGACUUUAUAUUAUCUUCUAGGAUGCCGUAGUGGCAUCAGAGAGCGUAGGUAAGUCCCCGGUGUGAAUAGAGCCUCAAGGCUUGAGUGGAAGUUUCUAGGUAGCCCUUGGAUAUGUGGUUUCUUUACUGGCUCCAACAAUACCUAAUUGAUGACAGUGAUCUAUAGAUGUCUUUUUCAUCAUCGCAACUUCUUGGCCAUUCUUAAAAGUAAAAACAUUCAUCUUUCUCUAGCAUCAUUAAUAACCCUGCCCUAGAAGCAUUCAGAGACUAAGAAUGAGAAGAAGGAGAAGAAGCCAUGGGAGGAGGCAACAGCCAGAAGUCGAAGAUGGCUCGGCAAAGGAACAUGGAGAAGCAAAAAAAUGCUGCCAAAGGCAGCCAGCUUGAAUCAAACAAGAUAUCAAUGACAAUUCAUGUAAACGAAGCUAAUUGGCACCAAAAUUUCAUUGUACUUUGAGCAUCUGCAGUGUUUCUGAUGCAAGGUAGUGAUUGAUGAUUGCAUUGCAAGGUGUGUAUGCAAGUAUUCAUAUGCAAGACGAGCGAGGUGAAGUGCAGGGAGCAUGCAGAAGCUAAACAUCCCAAAUCUGAUGUUUACACAUGUUUCCCUCAUCUU